GAUGAACGCUGGCGGCGUGCUUAACACAUGCAAGUCGAACGGAAAGGCUCCUGCUUGCAGGGGUACUCGAGUGGCGAACGGGUGAGUAACACGUGGGUGAUCUGCCCUGCACUUCGGGAUAAGCCUGGGAAACUGGGUCUAAUACCGGAUAGGACCACAUUUUGGAUGGUGUGGUGGAAAGUUUUUCGGUGUGGGAUGAGCUCGCGGCCUAUCAGCUUGUUGGUGGGGUAAUGGCCUACCAAGGCGUCGACGGGUAGCCGGCCUGAGAGGGUGUACGGCCACAUUGGGACUGAGAUACGGCCCAGACUCCUACGGGAGGCAGCAGUGGGGAAUAUUGCACAAUGGGCGCAAGCCUGAUGCAGCGACGCCGCGUGGGAGAUGACGGCCUUCGGGUUGUAAACUCCUUUCGCUAGGGACGAAGCGCAAGUGACGGUACCUGGAGAAGAAGCACCGGCUAACUACGUG
rnacentral:rRNA from 1 species